rnacentral:lncRNA from 10 species
GAUAAGGUGCUGAGUUCUAUGAAGAGAACACAGAGAGAUUAAUUCCAGAGAUACGUCAGGGGUGAGGACGACCUCACCUAACAGGUGACUGUCAUGCCUGUGAGAAAAUACCUUUUCCAAAUGGUGCCGUCCACUUCUAUCUCUCCACGGAAGGAUGGUGAAGUCUUCCACCUGGAGCUCCUGAGAGAACAGUGGGCUUAGUGGAAACACCACACACCUGGCUGGGUGUUUUCAGGUGGAGACGCUGAGGGCUGUUUCUUUCCAGUCCUGGAAGACGCGGAAUUUCUUCUCGGCAGCUUUGCUCGGCCUGCGUCUGAGCGAUGAGGAAACUGAGACACAAAAAUGGGGGAUGACUUGCCCAGGAAGCUGGACCACAUCACACAACGUUACUAUUGUAAUACCUUUAUCAAGAGUACCUCACAUGGCAACAAUGGGAGAAAAAUCAUACAGCUGGCUGCGUCAGGGAGAAAAGGAAGGGUGCCCCGGAGGCCACGGGAGACCAAGACAAUCCCUCUGUGGCUCAGAGUCUGCAGGUAUUCACGAUUGUGAUGCAACCAGCCUCGGAGACACCCUGAGAAACGCCGCCUAAUGGAAUCCAUCCCUCGGGACAGAAGCCGCCGGUCUUCCCUGACCGCACCCACUCGCCCCACAGAGCACCCCCUCCUUGUCAAAGCCGGCGACUCUGCAGGCUUCUGGUGCAGACAAUGUGGCCACCAGAUGCACGGCACCCAGCUUGCGGGGAUGCCGGGCAAAUGUUAUUACAGCGAUAACAGUGAUUCUGCUUAGGAUAACAAUGAUGGAAAUCUGUAUUAAAUGACUUGAAACUGCUGAUGCCUUUCCUUUUCCCCAAAGAGAAGAAAGGGAUGCGAAUGUGUCACUUGAACUGGCUGCUGCGGUUCAUCUGGACUCCAUCGUUCCUGCCAUCAUCUUUAUUAGUAGCAUUGUUUUAAAAAAAUGAGUAAGUUUGAAACCACCAGGUGUUUUGAAUUUUUAUCUUGUUCACUUGCUUACAUGAGGAAAUUCAAAUGGAGACCAAUGCAUUAGUAAAAGCCCAGUGGAAGGAGAGUGCCCCUUCUCUCCCGGGUGGGGGGCUCCCUGCCCUCCCUGACAGGCUCCCCCUAGUUCUGGGUUCUGGCUGCAGUUCCAGCCCCGACCACCAGGAGUUGAUCUCGGGAGCGUUAUCUGCGCAGCUCCUUCCCAGUCCUCCUCUGAGUCCUCCGUGACUUCAAGCAGCCACACGCCUCCUUCUCCCUCCCUGUUAAUCCCCACCGAAAGCAGGCUUGGUGUGGCCGCUCCCCAGACUCACAGGCCCUUCCUGGUUAUUUCUGCAGAAUCCACUCUCCCUGUCAGUCUGGGAAAGAAAGCAGAGAGAGAAAAAGAGCUGUAGCGUCAAGGGGACUGCCAGAUCCCGCAGCAAUCCUCCGUGCUCCAGGGUCUCCUUCGGGCGCCUUGCAAUCUCAGCGCCAGCUACUGAACACCUAGAGUAUUGUUCAGUGGAGGAUGCCAAGGGAGGCCUCGAGCCUGAAUUAGCCCCGUGAAAGGGGUCUUGCUCCCCCGCUCAUACGCUGAGGUCCAGGGAGCAUAGGCAGCUUCCCCAGGGCGACCAUAAGGGCCCGCACGCAAUGUGGUGACCCCCUUUCCCUCUGUCGUUUGGCCACCUCAGCUAUUACAACAGGAAGCCAUUGGCCGGGCGCGGUGGCUCACGCCUGUAAUCCCAGCGCUUUGGGAGGCCUAGGCGGGCAGAUCACGAGGUCAGGAGAUCAAGACCACCCUGGCUAACACGGUGAAACCCCGUCUCUACUGAAAAAAAAAAAAAAAAAAAA